rnacentral:rRNA from 1 species
CCUACUGUUUACAAAAACACAGGUCCCUGCUAAACCGUAAGGUGAUGUAUAGGGGGCUGACGCCUGCCCAAUGCCAGUCUGUUAAGGGGAGGGAGUGAGAGCUCUGAUCCGAAGCCCUGGUGAAUGGCGGCCGUAACUAUAACGGUCCUAAGGUAGCGAAAUUCCUUGUCGGGUAAGUUCCGACCUGCACGAAUGGCGUAACGAUCUGGGCACUGUCUCAACGAGGGACUCGGCGAAAUUGUAGUCUGCGUGAAGAUGCGCAGUACCCGCAGCAGGACGGAAAGACCCCGUGGAGCUUUACUAUACCCUGGUAUUGGCAUCUAGGAUCUCGUGUAGAGGAUAGGUGGGAGGCUUUGAAGCAGCUUCGUCAGGAGCUGUGGAGCCAACGGUGGAAUACCACCCUCGUGAUCACUGGGUAUCUAACCGGAUCGUCAUCCCGGUCCGGGACAGUUCCAGGCGGGUAGUUUGACUGGGGCGGUCGCCUCCUAAACAGUAACGGAGGCGCACAAAGGUUCCCCCUCAGCGCGAUCGGAAACCGCGCAGAGAGUGCAAGAGCAGAAGGGAGCUUGACUGCGAGACCUACAAGUCGAGCAGGUGCGAAAGCAGGUUCUAGUGACCCGACGGUUCAGAGUGGAAUGGCCGACGCUCAACGGAUAAAAGCUACCCCGGGGAUAACAGGCUUAUAGCGCCCACGCGCCCAUAGCUACGGCGCUGUUUGGCACCUCGAUGUCGGCUCGUCGCAUCCUGGGGCUGGAGUUGGUCCCAAGGGUUGGGCUGUUCGCCCAUUAAAGAGGUACGCGAGCUGGGUUCAGAACGUCGUGAGACAGUUCGGUCCCUAUCCGCUGCGGGCGUAGAAUCUUGAGGGGUGCCGCUCCUAGUACGAGAGGACCGGAGUGGACGAACCCCUGGUGUACCGGUUGUCGCGCCAGCGGCAUACGCCGGGUAGCCAUGUUCGGACGGGAUAACCGCUGAAAGCAUCUAAGUGGGAAGCCCACCCCAAGAUGAGGAUUCAUAGGGUCGAGGAAGACUACCUCGUGAUAGGCCGGAGGUGUAAGUGCAGUAAUGCAUUCAGCUGACCGGUACUAAUCCCAUCAGCUUGCCGCU